ensembl:rRNA 5S_rRNA 5S ribosomal RNA
GCCUACGGCCAUACCACCCUGAGAACGCCCGAUCUCGUCUGAUCUCGGAAGCUAAGCAGGGUCGGGGCCCGGUUAGUACUUGGAUGGGAGACCGCCUGGGAAUACCGGGUGCUGUAGGCU